AGUAACCAAAGAUUACACCAGGGUUUGUAGUUGGGUUUGAAAUGAUACGAACGUCACCACCACCGGCAGCCCAAGUAUCGUAAACACCACCGAAGUACAUAGCUUUCCAAACUAAUAACCAAGCACCAAAACCUAAUAAGAUUAAGUGGAUACCUAAGAUAGUAGUCAUUUUGUUUUUAUCUUUCCA
rnacentral:antisense_RNA from 15 species